GGCAAAUUUAUAAAACACUGUUUACAUAAAUUACACCCUUUGAGGAUGCUUCUAAUUUAAACUGCCCAGGAAAAAGGUCCUAAAAACGUAUCCGAUUCUUUAAUAUCUUUAGGAUAUUUCUUUAAAUGCAUUAUAAUUCUGAUACAUUCCGAAACACACAUUAAUAUUUUAAAUGGGAAAGCAUUGAGUCAUAUGUCUGAAUCAACUCAGCCUCAUAUAUUUCAUAACAAUCAUAGGACACACAAUAAUCAUGGCUAAAAUACUGUUCUUUGUGGUUUUGGCUGUAAUGUGGUGCGUCGGGAACUCGCGAAGUAUUCCCACUCCUUCAGAGCCUAGUGCUCUGGUCAGCAAGAAAAACUCAACCCAAAAUAACACACUCGAAGAUACUGCACCGAAAAUUACCCAGUUUGAUUCGCCAGCUAUAAAAUCUGUUGUUAUACAUAUUCCCAGACGACGACGAGAAUGGGAACCUAUAUAUCCAUUUGGUUUCUUAUAUGUACACACGCCAUGCGAAUUCGAUGUGUCUAUGACGUAUUGGGCCGCCAGCUUCGAUCCUUGCAAUUUUGUUUAUCAUGAAAGGCACGCCAGCGAGGGAUUCUACCGUAUGUUCCAACUAUUUAAAUUGGAUGCGUGGACUUUCGGCAUGUAUAUGGAGCGGUUAUUCCGAUAUGAGUACGAUAUGCACUAUUAUGAUUACGCUGAUAUUAGACUCCCACCGAAGUGAGCGUUCUAAACCGUUUACCUUUCCUCCAACAAUCUUCCAAUAUUUUAUCUAUAAAAUCAAUAACAUACAAAUGGUCGUCAUGGUCUUUCCUAGGAAAGCGCUUUUCGAUAAGUCAAUUCGAUCCGUUGAUCAGAUGUCAAAUUCAAGUUUCCAAAAAUAAAAAUAAAUGGCAUAUCAUUUAAGUACACUCAAAAA